rnacentral:lncRNA from 1 species
CAUACUUCUGCCUAAGUUAAAGGCCCUAUUUAUAGAAUAUAGGCAGCCCUUAAACUUGACAGCACAUGACACUUGUCGUCUACAACUUUUGCCACUUGUCGGGCUAACAUUAAAUCUUGCUCCUAACAUGUAGUUGACAUCCCCAACUACUUAGGACACAUUAUACACGAAAUGGGGUCAUUAUACAAGCAAUAAUCAGAUCAUGGAAUAAUGGGAGAUCAUUGGAGAUCAUGGCUAAAAACAAGGUAACCACCAACCGCUUUCCAUGUGCAUUGCACGUGCCAUUUCCUUGGCCAGCUGAAUUUCGCCCCAAGGUUGCCUUGCGCCAUGCAUUUGCUCAAUUUGACAUUGCCCGAUGCCAAUGUCUUGCCCGCGAUCCGCUUUCAUGAUUUUGUCGCACAAGCACGCGCCGCUGCUGCCCGCACACAGCCUUGGCCUAGUUUUCUGCCUUGUCCGUUCCAGCCCUCAUUUAACUCGUGCCAUUGUUGUAUUUUCUUUCCCAUAGACUUAUCUUAGCUAUUGAAAGCCUUUGCCAUCAACCCACAUUUUCGCCUCGCCUUAGCUUAGCCCGCACAUAGCUUCCACAACCCAAAAGUGCCAUGCCACUGAUUUUGGCGCGCAUGCCGUGCCAUGCCACCCAAACAUUGCCCAUGCUGCCUCGUCAAGCAUUUUCCAAGCGCGCCUUGCCCAUGUGAAGGCCUUGGCCAAUACUUCCCCACAACAGCCCGUCGAUCGCACGAUCGUUUUGCCCGCACAUAAGCCAAUGACAAGGCCAUCAAGCCCAAAUCCUUGCCACAGCCGUGCCACGCCCGAUGACAAAGAGUCAAGUCCUAAUAAACCACCCGCACCCUUUGAAUCGACAUCCUUGUCAGGCCGUCUUCAAUGAAUAAGCACCAAGGGUUUGUUCACAUACAAUGACCCUUGUACUCCAUUCAUAUCCCAAUGAUUUUCCAGUAUAUUGGCACCUCUCGCACCCUGAUUUUCCUUUGGCUCCGAAAUCCUCUAGCGCAUUCAUCACCUCUAGGGACAUAAGUUUGCCAGGCCCUUCAAAGUUGAACCACUUCCUUUCGUAACUCUUCCUUCUCUAUACGCGCAAAGGCCAUUUCUUCCUCCAAACGUGCCAUUCAUCAUGAACAACAGAAUCACAAUCUACUUCAAGAUCCUGCCCAAUGAUUGCUUCCAAUUGCUCAACCUUUUGACGCAAUCCGCGUUUGCGCCACCAGCCUUGUUCUUCCCCACGAAUUCUACCACCGGAUCGUCUUGCCACUGCCACGAACCUUCUCUCCUCUGAUACCAGUUAUCACGGGGGAGUAUUUGAUCAAGUCCAAAACCACACCCGCGCAGCAGUCAAGUCCCCCGCUUGACUCAGCCUUUCCGAAACACAUUGCCAAUUUCAACAAGUUUGGCCUUAAACGAAAUUUAGGCAACAAAACAGAAAUUUAAAGAACACAAGCAUAUACAGGAAAAUCCCAACCUUUGCAUUAAUUCUGAAAAUAUACAAAGGACCCUCACUUUGCUAUGAACUAUCAGUCCGCUCAGAGCCCCUUUUGGCAAAGAACACAAGUCGUUCUUAGCCAAUACUAAGGUCUGCCCAAGCCAAACCUUAGCCCCUUUUGAAACACUUAGAAACCCUCACAUUUGUUUCUUGUUUCUCACAUAGAAUUCUACACGAAAUUCUCUCUUACUUGCUAUGAACACAUUCCGGUCACAGCCCACUUUUGGCAAAGAGCACAAGUCGUUCUUAGCCAACACGAAGGUCUGCCCAAGCCAAACCUUAGCCCCUUUUGAAACACUUAGAAACCAUCACAUUUCUUUCUUGUUUCCCACAUAGAAUUCUACACGAAAUUCUACAUACUUCUGCCUAAGUUAAAGACCUAUUUAUAGAAUAUAUGCAGCCCUUAAACUUGACAGCACAUGACAAUACAUGAAAUUCUACAUACUUCUGCCUAAGUUAAAGGCCCUAUUUAUAGAAUAUAGGCAACCCUUAAACUUGACAACACAUGACACUUGUCGUCUACAACUUUUGCCACUUGUCGGGCUAACUUUAAAUCUUUCUCCUAACAUGUAGUUGACAUCCCCAACUACUUAGGACACAAUAUACACGAAAUUGGGUAAUUAUACAAGCAAUAAUCAGAUCAUGGGAUAAUGGGAGAUCAUGGGACAUCAUGGCUAAAAACAAGGUAACCGCCAACUGCUUUCCAUGUGCAUUGCAUGUGGCAUUUCCUUGGCCAGCUAAAUUUCGCCCCAAGGCUGCCUUGUGCCAUGCCUUAGCUCAAUUUGACAUUGCCCCAUGCCAAUGUCUUGCCCGCAAUCCGCUGCCAUGAUUUUGCCGCACACGCCCGGCGCCGCUGCCGCCCGAACACUUCCUUGGCUUAGUUUUCUGCCUUGUCCGUGCUAACCCGCAUUUACCUCGUGCCGUUGCUUGUAUUUUCCUUCCAAUAGCCUUGUCUUAGCAAUUGAAAGCCUUUGCCAUCAACCUGCAUUUCCGCCUCGCCUCAGCUUAGCCCACACAUAGCUGCCACAGCCCAAAAGUGCCAUGCCACUGAUUUUGGCGCGCAUGCCGUGCCAUGCCGCCCAAACAUUGCCCAUGCUGCCUCGUUAAGCCUUUUCUAAGCGCUCCUUGCCCAUGCCAAGGCCUUGGCCAAUACUUUCCCAUAACAGCUGGUCGACCGCAUGAUAGUUUUGCCCGCACAUAAGCCAAUGACAAGGCCAUCACGCCCAAAUCCUUGCCACAGCCGUGCCACACCCGAUGACAAAAAAUCAGGUCCUAACAAACCACCUGCACCCUUUGAAAUCGACGUCCUCGUCGAGCCGUCUUCAAUGCAUCAGCACCAAGGGUUUGUUCACAUACAACGCCCCUUGUACUCCAUUCAUAUCCCACUGAUUUUCUAGUACAUUGGCACCUCUCGCACCCUGAUCUGCCUUUGGCUCUGAAAUCCUCGACUUAGUUCGUUCAUCACCUCUAGAGGAAACAAUUUGCCAUGCCCUUCGAAGUUUAACCACUUCCUUGCGUAAAUCUUCCUUGUCUAUGCGCACCAAGGCCAUUUCUGCCUCCAAACGUGCCAUCUAGACAAGAACAAAAGAAUCACAAUCUACAUCAAGAGCCUGCCUAACGAGUGCUUCCAACUACUCAACUUUUUGACGCAGUUCCGCGUUUGUUCCACCAGCCUUGUUCUUCCCUACGAAAUCUGCCACCGAAUCGUCUUGCCACUGCCAUGAACCUUCUCUGCUCUGAUACCAGUUGUCACGGGGGAGUUUUUGAUCAAGUCCAAAACCACACCCGCACGGCACUCAAGUCCCCCGCUUGACUCAGCCUUUCCGAAACACUUUGCCAAUUUUCAACAAGUUUUGGCCUUAAACGAAAUUUAGGCAACAAAACAGAAAUUUAAAGAACACAAGUAUAUACGGGAAAAUCCCAACCUUUGCAUCAAUUCUAAAAAUAUACAAAGGACCCUCAUUUUGCUAUGAACUAUCAGUCUGCUCAGAGCCCCCUUUUGGCAAAGAACACAAGUCGUUCUUAGCUAAUACUAAGGUCUGCCCAAGCCAAACCUUAGCCCUUUUUGAAACACUUAGAAACCCUCACAUUUAUUUCCUGUUUCCCACAUAGAAUUCUACACGAAAUUAUCUCUUACUUGCUAUGAACACAUUCCGCUCACAUCCCACUUUUGGCAAAAAACACAAGUCGUUCUUAGCCAACACUAAGGUCUGCCCAAGACAAACCUUAGCCCCUUUUGAAACAAUUAGAAACCAUCACGUUUCUUUCUUGUUUCCCACAUAGAAUUCUACACGAAAUUCUACAUACUUCUGCCAGAGCUUAGAAACCAUCACGUUUCUUUCUUGUUUUCCACAUAGAAUUCUACACGAAAUUCUACAUACUUCCGCCUAAGUUAAAGGCUCUAUUUAUAGAAUAUAGGCAUCCCUUAAACUUGACAGCAUAUGACACUUGCCGUUUAAGACUUUUGACACUUGUCGGGCUAACUUUAAAUCUUGCUCCUACAUGUAGUUGACAUCCCCAACUACUUAGGACAUAUUAUAUAUGAAAUGAGGUCAUUAUACAAGCAAUAAUCAGAUCAUGGGAUAAUGGGAGAUCAUGGGAGAUCAUGGCUAAAAACAAGGUAACUGCCAACCGCUUUUCAUGUGCAUGGCAUGUGCUAUUUCCUUGGCCAGCUGAAUUUCGCCCCAAGACUGCCUUGUGCCAUGCCUUAGCUCAAUUUGACAUUGCCCCAUGCCAAUGUCUUGUCCGCAAUUCGCUGCCAUGAUUUUUUUGUGCCAUUUCCUUGGCAAGUUGAAUUUCGCCCCAAGGCUGCCUUGUACCAUGCCUUAGCUCAAUUUGACGUUGCCCCAUGCCAAUGUCUUGCCCGCAAUCCGCUGCCAUGAUUUUGCCGCACACGCCCGGUGCCGCUGCCGCCCCUACACCGCCUUGGCCUAGUUUUCUGCCUUGUCCGUGCCAACCCUCAUUUCUCCCGUGCCAUUGCUUGUAUUGUCUUUCCCAUAGCCUUGUUCUAGCUAUUGAAAGCCUUUGCCAUCAACCCGCAUUUUUGUCUCGCCUUAGCUUAGCCCGUAUAUAGCUGCCACAACCCAAAAGUUCCAUGCCACUAAUUUUGGCGCGCAUGCCGUGCCAUGCCGCGUAAACAUUGCCCAUGCUGCCUCGUCAAGCCUCUUCCUAGCGCGCCUUGCCCAUGCCAAGGCCUUGGCCAAUACUUUCCCACAACAGCCCGUCGACCGCAUGAUCGUUUUGCCCGCACAUAUGCCAAUACAAGGCAAUCACGCCCAAAUCGUUGCCACAGCCGUGCCACGCCCGAUGACAAAGAGUCACGUCCUAACAAACCACCCGCACCCUUUGAAAUCGACGUCCUCGUCGAGCCGUCUUUAAUGAAUCAGCACCAAGGGUUUUUCACAUACAAUGCCCCUUGUACUCCUUUCAUAUCCCUGUGAAUUUCCAGUAUAUUGGCACCUCUCGCACCCUGAUCUACCUUUGGCUCCGAAAUCCUCGACUUAGUGCGUUCAUCACCUCUAGGGGCUGCAGUUUUCCAUGCCCUUCGAAGUUGAACCACUUCCUUGCGUAACUCUUCUUUCUCUAUGCGCACCGAGGCCAUUUCUUCCUCCAAACGUGCCAUUCCAACAAGAACAAAAGAAUCACAAUCUAUAUCAAGAGCCUGCCCAUCAAGUUCUUCCAACUGCUCAACGUUUUGACAUAAUUCCGCGUUUGUGCCACCAGCCUUGUUCUUCCCCACGAAUUCUUGUCACCGGAUCGUCUUGCCACUACUACGAACCUGCUCCGAUUUGAUACCAGUUGUCACGGGGGAGUUUUUGAUCAAGUCAGAAACCACACCCGCGCGGCAGUCAAGUCUCCCGCUUGACUCAGCCUUUCCGAAACACUUUGCCAAUUUUCAACUAGUUUGGCCUUAAACGAAAUUUAUGCAACGAAACAGAAAUUUAAAGAACACAAGUAUAUACGGGAAAAUCCUAACCUUUGCAUUAAGUUUGAAAAUAUACAAAGGACCCUCACUUUGCUAUGAACUAUCAGUCCGCUCACAGCCCCAUUUAGCAAAGAACACAAGUCGUUCUUAGCCAACACUAAGGUUUGCCCAAGCUAAACCUUAGCCCCUUUUGAAACACUUAGAAACCCUCACAUUUCUUUCUUGAUUCCCACAUUGAAUUCUACACGAAAUUCUCUCUUACUGCUAUGAACACAUUCCGCUCACAACCCACUUUUGGCAAAGAACACAAGUCAUUCUUAGCCAACACUAAGGUUUGCCGAAGCCAAACCUUAGCCCUUUUUGAAACACUUAGAAACCAUCACAUUUCUUUCAUGUUUCCCACAUAGAAUUUAACACGAAAUUCUACAUACUUCUGCCUAAGUUAAAGGCCUUAUUUAUAGAAUAUAGGUAUCCCUUAAACUUGACAGCACAUGACACUUGUCGUUUACACCUUUUGCCACUUGUCGGGCUAACUUUAAAUCUUGCUCCUAACAUGUAGUUGACAUCCCCAACUACUUAUGACACAUUAUACACGAAAUGGGGUCAUUAUACAAGCAAUAAUCAGAUCAUGGG